UUAAGAAGUUACUGAUAGGAGCAGGAAUGACUCAAAGGAUACUGCAUCAUUGUAAGCUCACAACAGCAUAGAAAAAUCAGUCUCUUUUUGAAGAUGCAGCCCCAGUGAAAGAGUCAUCCAACACCCUUGGGGGUCACAAUCAACAGGUUGAAAGUCACAGGUCAAGGAGGAUGAAGAGAUAUCAUGGGAUGGAGAGAAAGAAGAAGGUCAUGAGCAUGAAUUAGAAGUCUGACCAGCAUACAGCAUGCACUUGUGUGGAGUGUCCUGAUGCAACUGCACCAUGACAGUGAGCAGUAGCUUUUUAAAGGAAGAGUUUUAUGAAUGGUGAGAGGCACAGGGAGACUAGAGAAGUCCCAGCAGGAUGAGUGAGCAACCAGAGUAGGAGAUGGACAUGGAGACCUGGAAGAGAUCCUUUGAGAACCAGCCACAACCAUGCAGAGACCUAAAGGAUGACAGGGGCUGAUUCUGUGAUGUAAAACCAAGUUCUACAAGGAAUCAAAGGCCAGAGUGCCUGAAUCAAGACCCAGUUAGCUUUUGCUGUCUGUGACACACCUGGGAAGUUCUGCUCUGACUCUGUACUUGUGUCUCCAACUUUGAAGUGAGAGGAAGCCAUGAUGUCUGUAAUCCUUACACUAAAAAGCCAAAGCAGAAGAAUCAAGCAUUUAAAGACAAUAUCAGCAAUGUAGUGAGUGUGAGGCCAGCCUGGGCUUUCUCAAGUAAAUAAACAAAAUUUUAAAAUGAGGUUCAA